UUUCACAGAAAAAUCAAGUAACAGUGGGACAACUGUUAAAUUCUGUGUUGUUCAAGGAACUGACAGUAUGGUCAAGAAUGGCAUCACAACUACAAUCAGCGUCAAACAUCAAUGCAUCACUGUGAUGUCAAAUUAUGAUAAAAAGAGCUUAGAGGAACUCAGGUUAGAAGAUUAUAUACUUCAGGGGCGCGUGCAAAGACCCAAAAGUAGGUGUUGGGAUCCUCAGUAUUAUGGUCUCAUUGAUUUUUGUCUCGGUUGUUGUUUGCUCAUGUAAUAUUUACUUAUU